AUACGAAGGGUGCAAGCGUUAAUCGGAAUUACUGGGCGUAAAGCGCGCGUAGGUGGUUCAGCAAGUUGGAUGUGAAAGCCCCGGGCUCAACCUGGGAACUGCAUCCAAAACUACUGAGCUAGAGUACGGUAGAGGGUGGUGGAAUUUCCUGUGUAGCGGUGAAAUGCGUAGAUAUAGGAAGGAACACCAGUGGCGAAGGCGACCACCUGGGCUAAUACUGACGCUGAGGGGCGAAAGCGUGGGGAGCAAACAGGAUUAGAUCCCCGGGUAGUCCACGCCGUAAACGAUGUCGACUAGCCGUUGGGAUCCUUGAGAUCUUAGUGGCGCAGCUAACGCCAUAAGUCGCCCGCCUGGGGAGUACGGCCGGAAGGUUAAAAAUCAAAUGAAUUGACGGG
rnacentral:rRNA from 1 species